rnacentral:rRNA from 1 species
UUGAACGCUGGCGGAAUGCUUUACACAUGCAAGUCGAGCGGCAGCGCGGGGCAACCUGGCGGCGAGCGGCGAACGGGUGAGUAAUGCAUCGGAACGUGCCUAUUUGUGGGGGAUAACGUAGCGAAAGUUACGCUAAUACCGCAUACGCCCUGAGGGGGAAAGCGGGGGAUUCGUAAGAACCUCGCGCAAUUAGAGCGGCCGAUGUCGGAUUAGCUAGUUGGUGGGGUAAAGGCUCACCAAGGCGACGAUCCGUAGCGGGUCUGAGAGGAUGAUCCGCCACACUGGGACUGAGACACGGCCCAGACUCCUACGGGAGGCAGCAGUGGGGAAUUUUGGACAAUGGGCGAAAGCCUGAUCCAGCCAUGCCGCGUGAGUGAAGAAGGCCUUCGGGUUGUAAAGCUCUUUCAGCCGGAAAGAAAUCGCGCAGGCUAAUACUCUGCGUGGAUGACGGUACCGGAAGAAGAAGCACCGGCUAACUACGU